rnacentral:rRNA from 1 species
AUACGGAGGGUGCGAGCGUUAUCCGGAAUCAUUGGGUUUAAAGGGUCCGUAGGCGGACUAUUAAGUCAGAGGUGAAAUCCCACAGCUCAACUGUGGAACUGCCUUUGAUACUGGUAGUCUUGAGUUAUAUGGAAGUAGAUAGAAUGUGUAGUGUAGCGGUGAAAUGCAUAGAUAUUACACAGAAUACCGAUUGCGAAGGCAGUCUACUACGUAUAUACUGACGCUAAGGGACGAAAGCGUGGGGAGCGAACAGGAUUAGAAACCCCAGUAGUCC